CACGUAGGGUGCGAGCGUUAAUCGGAAUUACUGGGCGUAAAGCGUGCGCAGGCGGUUUUGUAAGCCAGAUGUGAAAGCCCCGGGCUCAACCUGGGAAUGGCAUUUGGGACUGCAAGGCUUGAGUGCGGCAGAGGAGACUGGAAUUCCUGGUGUAGCAGUGAAAUGCGUAGAUAUCAGGAGGAAUACCGAUGGCGAAGGCAGGUCUCUGGGCUGACACUGACGCUCAUGCACGAAAGCGUGGGGAGCAAACAGG
rnacentral:rRNA from 1 species